GACGAACGCUGGCGGCGUGCUUAACACAUGCAAGUCGAGCGGUAAGGCCCUUCGGGUACACGAGCGGCGAACGGGUGAGUAACACGUGGGUGACCUGCCCUCAGCUCUGGGAUAAGCCUGGGAAACCGGGUCUAAUACCGGAUAUGACUCCAUGACGCAUGUUGUGGGGUGGAAAGCCUUGUGCGGCUGAGGAUGGGCCCGCGGCCUAUCAGCUUGUUGGUGGGGUGAUGGCCUACCAAGGCGACGACGGGUAGCCGGCCUGAGAGGGCGACCGGCCACACUGGGACUGAGACACGGCCCAGACUCCUACGGGAGGCAGCAGUGGGGAAUCUUGCGCAAUGGGCGAAAGCCUGACGCAGCGACGCCGCGUGAGGGAUGACGGCCUGGU
rnacentral:rRNA from 1 species